UACAGAGGUCCCAAGCGUUGUUCGGAUUCACUGGGCGUAAAGGGUGCGUAGGCGGUCGGGUAAGUCUGGUGUGAAAUCUCACAGCUUAACUGUGAAACUGCAUUGGAUACUAUCCGGCUCGAGGAAUGGAGGGGAGACUGGAAUACUUGGUGUAGCAGUGAAAUGCGUAGAUAUCAGGAGGAACACCGGUGGCGAAGGCGGCCAACUGGACCGGUAUUGACGCUGAGGCGCGAAAGCGUGGGGAGCAAACAGG
rnacentral:rRNA from 1 species